UGAGCUAACAGAAGAAUCUUGUCUGCUU
rnacentral:piRNA from 1 species